UUUUUUUUUUUUUUUUUAAGAUGGAGUCUGACUCUGUUGCCCAGGCUGGAGUGCAGUGGUGCAAUCUCAGCUUACUGCAACCUCCACCUCCCGAGAUCAAGCAAUUCUCCUGCCUGACUCCCCAGUAGCUGGGACUACAGGCGUCUGCCAUCAUGCUCGGCUAAUUUUUGUAUUUUUAGUAGAGACAGGGUUUCAUCAUGUUGGCCAGGCUGGUCUCAAACUCCUGACCUCGUGAUCCACCCACCUUGGCCUCCCAAGAAGUUGGGAUUAAGGCGUGAGCCACUGCGCCUGCCCAAGCAACCCCUCAUUUCUUAAAGACUUGUCCCGUGAAUGCCCAGCUGCGAGGUUUGGGAAGGAAGAGGAGGAAACCCACACUUUAAAUUGACAGGUUUUAAACUCAAAGCACAAACCGCAUCUUCCCGGGGAAGCUGUCUCUAAAUCAUGCUAAUGUGGAAGCAAAAGGAACCAGUUAAGCCUUCAAAGUGUCGGAAGGGAAAACCAGGUUCACACAUGAAAAGGGAAACUGCUCAUAAGAAAAUACUGGAUUUCUUGGUGAAAAAGGAAACAAUAGUAUUAUCACCUCACAGACACCAGGAGAAGGAAAGGAUCCACUUUUGUCCUGUGUGUAGGCCCUGCAGAGUGUUUGUUAUGUGUUGAUGGGUUCAUCCCACUGCCCCUCGAUGCAGAACAGGAGGGUAGGUGCCCUGCAUCCUCCUGGCAUGGCGGGCCAGCCCCACCAUGGUCAGGAGAUUCAACACGUUCCCGCCAGUGUGGUGAUUCCACACUGCACUUUUUAUAGUACAGGCCUUUUUCCAAAUGAAAUGGACACAGAACCCCAAACCAUAAAACAUGCUGUCAGCACUGCCCUGGAAGAAUCGGGGUAAGAUGCAGGGUCCUGCCGCGUCCACCCCUUCUGCAUCUACCUCUGCCCUGCCCACCACCCGCCCCAGCUUCUCUAUGGGACCCAGUUGCUGCCCAGGGAGAUGGUAGGAGGCAGUGGGCUUGCUUCCUUUCCGUUUCUGAAAAGCACGCUUACUUCCUUUCAUUGCCAGUAGGACGUCUUCUGAGCUGACGGAUGUCUUUGCUCACAGGAGGAUUAGAAUGUGAAGCCUUCACCAUUAAACCAAGGUUCAGAAUCUGGGGAACUUCACCAGGACCCUCACGGCCCCCACACACGUUCAGCUGUGUCUCUGGGUCUUCCCUGGGGUCCGUCCCUCUAACUGUCCCAUUCUGUUGCUUCGUUCUCAUCCAGGGAAUCUCUGGGCUCACAGAAGCACAUCUGAAAGCCACGGAGAUGGAGGCAGCUGCCUAUGCGCUCGGUCCACAGAGGCGCGUCUCAAAGCUGCGGAGAUGAGGGCAGCCGUCUGGGCUCCUUGGGCGCUGCCUCUUCUCCCCUAGUUCUUGCUGCACGGAUCCACCUGGUUCUACUGCACAGCUUGAGCUCGCUCUCACCUUGCACCAUGCCCAGAUCCUCCUGGACUUUCCUUGAGGCUGAAUCUCUGUCCAGCCUGCCCCUGGGAUCCUGGCAUUUUCUCUUGCCUGGGUGAGAACUCGGUUUCCAUCUUUCCCAAGGAAUGCUAACUGUUCCCCUAUGCAUAGGGUGGGAUGGCAGUGGAGGGUGGAGGGGGGGCUGACAUGUGCCUCUGGAGAUGUGUGGAAAGGUAUGGAGCGUGCCUGUCUUGGAGUUCUCCCUGUUUUUCUCAGACCAACUGCCCUACAGCUCUCCGUGGUCUUACACAACCCUUCUCCUUAUUGGCCUCCCAUGGGUAGCACGCAGGUCUUCACGCAGAAUCAGCUGCCUCGCCAUGAGCAUGGAGCCGGGAGGGUGCCUGGUUGGAAGUCAGGGAGGCAUGGGGUCCAUCCCGGCCCCUCUGCCCCCAGCUGUGAGGGAGGGUCAGGCCACGUGCUCCACAGCACCUCCUCAUGGGAGGAGGAGACAGGUGUGGGCCUCGGCUCUUGGAGUCACUGCGAAGGUGCAGUGACAGUGUUUGCAGAGCAAAGUGCGGCCCCCAUCGGGUGUCGCCCACAGGAGCUGCUUCCGGGACACGCAGGGAGCACUCAGCAGAAGCAGACCUCCGAGAGUCCGCGCAGAGUUCAGCCAUCUGAGCUCGCCCCAUUUCUAGAUUCUUCUAACUCUUGAAAAGUUUACUUUUACAGAAAACACGCUCGAGCCUACAUUUGAGCCGCUUCCGUAAUGACAGGAUUUGAAGGCUGUUUAAAUUAGGGAUUCAUUUCUGCUCC
rnacentral:lncRNA from 1 species